AUUGAACGCUGGCGGCAUGCCUUACACACGCAAGUCGAACGGCAGCACGGGUGCUUGCACCUGGUGGCGAGUGGCGAACGGGUGAGUAAUACAUCGGAACAUGUCCUGUAGUGGGGGAUAGCCCGGCGAAAGCCGGAUUAAUACCGCAUACGAUCUACGGAUGAAAGCGGGGGCCCUUCGGGCCUCGCGCUAUCGGGUUGGCCGAUGGCUGAUUAGCUAGUUGGUGGGGUAAAGGCCUACCAAGGCGACGAUCAGUAGCUGGUCUGAGAGGACGACCAGCCACACUGGGACUGAGACACGGCCCAGACUCCUACGGGAGGCAGCAGUGGGGAAUUUUGGACAAUGGGCGAAAGCCUGAUCCAGCAAUGCCGCGUGUGUGAAGAAGGCCUUCGGGUUGUAAAGCACUUUUGUCCGGAAAGAAAUCCUUGGCCCUAAUACGGUCGGGGGAUGACGGUACCGGAAGAAUAAGCACCGGCUAACUACGUG
rnacentral:rRNA from 1 species